rnacentral:rRNA from 1 species
CAGUUAAAAAGCUCGUAGUCGGAUUUUGGGAUCACGCCGAACUGUCUGCCGAUUGGUAAGUACGGUUUGGCGGGUGCUUCCUUCCGGAGGCUCGUUCCCUUCUUCAUUGAAGGGUUCGUUGGUUCCGGGUCUUUUACUUUGAGAAAAUUAGAGUGUUCAAAGCAGGCCUAUGCUCUGAAUAGGUUAGCAUGGAAUAAUAGAAUAGGACUUUGGUUCUAUUUUGUUGGUUUCUAGGACCGAAGUAAUGAUUAAUAGGGACAGUUGGGGGCAUUCAUAUUCCAUUGUCAGAGGUGAAAUUCUUGGAUUAACGGAAGAUGAACUUCUGCGAAAGCAUCUGCCAAGGAUGUUUUCAUUGAUCAAGAACGAAAGUUAGGGGAUCGAAGACGAUCAGAUACCGUCGUAGUCUUAACCAUAAACUAUGCCGACUAGGGAUGUGGAGGCGUUAACUUUGUACGACCCCUCAUGCACCUUAUGAGAAAUCAAAGUCUA